rnacentral:rRNA from 1 species
GGUGUGAAACCUCCAGGCUCAACCUGGAGCCGCCAUUCGAUACUGCCAUGGCUAGAGUUUGGUAGGGGACCACGGAACUCCUGGUGUAGCGGUGAAAUGCGCAGAUAUCAGGAAGAACACCAGCGGCGAAGGCGGUGGUCUGGGCCAAUACUGACGCUGAGGAGCGAAAGCGUGGGGAGCGAACAGGAUUAGAUACCCUGGUAGUCCACGCCGUAAACGUUGGGCACUAGGUGUGGGGACCUAUCGACGGUUUCUGUGCCGCAGCUAACGCAUUAAGUGCCCCG